rnacentral:rRNA from 1 species
GACGAACGCUGGCGGCGUGCCUAAUACAUGCAAGUCGAACGCUUUGAUUUUCACCGGAGCUUGCUCCACCGAAAAUCAAAGAGUGGCGGACGGGUGAGUAACACGUGGGCAACCUGCCCAACAGAGGGGGAUAACACUUGGAAACAGGUGCUAAUACCGCAUAAUUUGUUUUCCCGCAUGGGAGAAUAAUAAAAGACGCUUCGGUGUCGCUGUUGGAUGGGCCCGCGCUGCAUUAGUUAGUUGGUGGGGUAAUGGCCUACCAAGACCGCGAUGCAUAGCCGACCUGAGAGGGUGAUCGGCCACACUGGGACUGAGACACGGCCCAGACUCCUACGGGAGGCAGCAGUAGGGAAUCUUCGGCAAUGGACGAAAGUCUGACCGAGCAACGCCGCGUGAGUGAAGAAGGUUUUCGGAUCGUAAAACUCUGUUGUUAGAGAAGAACAAGUGGGAGAGUAACUGUUCCCACCUUGACGGUAUCUAACCAGAAAGCCACGGCUAACUACGUGCCAGCAGCCGCGGUAAUACGUAGGUGGCAAGCGUUGUCCGGAUUUAUUGGGCGUAAAGCGAGCGCAGGCGGUUUCUUAAGUCUGAUGUGAAAGCCCUCGGCUCAACCGGGGAAGGUCAUUGGAAACUGGGGAACUUGAAUGCAGAAGAGGAGAGUGGAAUUCCAUGUGUAGCGGUGAAAUGCGUAGAUAUAUGGAGGAACACCAGUGGCGAAGGCGACUCUCUGGUCUGUAAUUGACGCUGAGGCUCGAAAGCGUGGGGAGCAAACAGG